UGCACGUCUCCCGACCCACCAGCUGGAGUCACUCACAGAUUUCCCACCCACAAAAAGUGGUUGGUUGCCACAGCCAAACCAACCAGAACAAUCCAGGAGGGAAAAAGAGUAGAAUUUUCAGAGCAAGACCUUAAUUAAUUGAAAGUAAAUGACUAUCAGCAUUUCAGUUCCAUAAACAGUGUUUGCCUCAGAGCCACAGUCUGAGGAAGCAGGAACGAGGCCUGGAGAAGGGUCAGCAGGUCCUGACCGAUGGCAGGAAGGUGCGCAGGUUUGGCUGCAGUGGAAAUAAGUGGAGUUACGACGUCCACCAGCCUGGCAGAGAUGGAGAAAUGAGAGCCGAGCAGUGUGGACCUGCAGAGGCUCCCGAGGCAGAGUUCAACAUACCCAGGAUGUAUUUUCAUUAUCCGGCUUCACUUAAUUUAACAUCGGCCGUUUUCUCAUCCAACUACGAGGACGUCCGUGUGAGAGAGGCGGAGUCGUUAAUUACGAGCAACAUCCGCAACAUGUAACAGGCAACAAAUACAAGUUAGGUUCAAAAGAGUGAAAUGUGAACGAGGGUCACAUGACUAGAAGAGAAACAGUAGAUAUACAUUUUGAUCUCGAAAAAAAUUAUAAAACCAAAGAAACUGUAAAUAAGUGGAGGAAGUUUAUUAAGGUUAUUACUGAGCAUUUUUGUUUUUGUCUGAUGGUGAACAAGCUAUUAUCAACAUGUCAUGUCAGACUGUUUCUGCUGCCAAAGCAGAGAGAGAAUUGAUGUGUGAUGACCUCAAUCUGACUGAAAUGUUCAUUUAUCAUCAUGUAUUAAACAAUGUGUGGAUUACUUUUUAAUAAAAUACAUUAAAGGUUUUA